GCCAGCUCAUCUGAAGGCUUCCAGAAGGCAGAAGGCAGAUGAGGGAGGAGAGGAAAGUCGGAUGCUGCAAUUAACGGCCUGGACAGAGGAUGGGGACAUGAAUAAUGGUAGAGUCCAGCAUUAGCACAACACUCCAUUCAUCACUGCUGAAGGGCAAAUGCAUAACCCUCAAAAUGAUCCUGGAAAGAGGAAAAGGGAGAGGAAUUGCAAGUUCCAUGGAACAGUGAUUUACCAUGCAGCAGAGGAUGUGAGCAUCUCCGAAAUAGAAGGGUCCACAUAUUUUGAACUUUAACAUAUAUAAUGAUACUUAUAAUGUGACUGUUACGGGCAGCUGAUUUUUCAUACAAUUGACAUGUGAGUAUUUUCCAGGCAGGCAUCUUAUUUCCUGUGUAUGUGCCCCCUAUUUAUGCAGGACCAUCAACAGGACCAACAUUGAGUAGAAAUCAGUCACAGCAAACCACUUUCCUUUUUAUUUCAUGUACUCUGUACCCUCCUUUAAUGGCAACAUAAUUGCAUCAUAUCAUUGGUUUGUAGUGUGGAGGCUGUGGGUCUGAUUUUUAGUUUCCCAAUCCGUGCAGAAUAUUCAGAAGAAUAGAGGGUUGGAGACCUCUAGUUCAGGUCAAAAUCAGUGUGAAAGGCUUGACUUUGGAAAGGGUAAAGAGAGUUCAAUUUAAACUGAGUCUCCAGCUAGGGGCAGGGAGAGGAAAGAGGAGUUAGUCUCCCACAAGAGGAGACUAGCAUAAUCUUUGUGCCCUAAUUAGGCAUCCUUGGGCUUAGGGAAUUACUAGGGGAUACGGGAGUGUAAUGCAGGAAAACCAAGGCAGAAGUCAUGUCCGAGAGUCUGGAUCAAUCCUUCAGGGCAGGGGGUGGAGCAAGGGAAGAAAGGGGAGCUGUGCCAAGGGGUCUACCAGUGGGCCCAGGGCAGAUCCCAAGUCCAUAAGCAAUAGGAUCAGGUCCAGGUACCACCUUCUUGAAAUCUGAGGCUGCUGCUGUACUUCCUGCCCCUGCUACCUUGGGCCUGGGGCUGUAAAUGUCAUCAGAUAGUCCACCUGGAAGGGCCUGUGGAAAGCAAAAUCAGAGAAACAAGGCAGGAGCUGGCCACUUGUGAAAUUUUUCCUGGAAACUCUGUCAUGGAAUCAUGUUUUAGAUACCAGAAGGAAGGGCUGCUCUGACUAACUGACCAUGAAUCGGAGAAGAGGCCUGCGAUGAUCUAGGCAGUGGGUUAUGGGAGAGGAAUGGAAAACUGCAGAAUGGAUUCUCCAGCCCAUUCAGCGCUCAUACUACAUGGGCAUGUUCACAGACCUGCAGGCUUUGCCUUUGUCUGUCUCCCUGCUUUUGGAAGGGAUGGCACAGCUUUGCCCCCUUUCCUGGAGGCACAGUAGUCUGACUUGAGUCUUUCGCUGUCUUCUGUAUCCAACUCAUUCAUGAAAUUAUAUGAGAUAAUUUCCAAAUAAGUGACUUUUUUGGCUUAUUUGCCCAAUUGACUUAAUUAUUGCCGGUUUAUUCUUCUUGUUUUGGAUUCCUUGAGCUGAGAGAGUGAAAAAGGGAGUUUAUUUAAGAAGAUAAGGACAGAUUAGGUUUUCAAUUUGGUGGUAUGAUGCAGUCUGCUUUCUUAACUCUAUUAUGACCUAUUUAGUGUUUGUUUUUCUCUUAUUGUGGAAGUAACAUAUGCUGAUUAUAGAGAUAUAGAAAAAGAUAAAAAGUAUCCAUUUCAAUUGACCAAUAAUGUCCUCUCAGCAAUUUGGUGUAUAUCAUGUAUUUUUAAAUAAACAGAUUGCUUUGUAAAUACACUUUAUAUCUUACUGUUGUAACAUUAAAAAAAAGGUGGUUAAAAUGGCGAGCAAGUGCAGAACAGCAGCACUUGGAAAGUAAGCUGGGGAUGGCAAAAGCCUCAAUUUCUGUUUCCACAAAGCACUCUGUUCUCUUUGUUGAUCACUGAGACCCAGAAGCUACCAUCUCCAGUGGAACUGGAACCUUUGUUUUUCUUGAUCUCUGCAUCGUGUGGCUCAGCCCCGGUUGGAACUGAAGCUUGGAAUAAAGCCACAGUGAGCUGGGUCACACUGUUUCUUAGACUUCCCCCCACAGUACCUUGUUUGGAGAGAAUUAUAACUGAAAGGGAAAAAAUUCCCUCUGGCAAGAAACUUGGCUUAGAAAUGCUCAUUUGGAGAAGCUUAUUAUUAUUAUUAUUUUUUGGUUUUGCUGUUUAAAUAAGGUCACUGCUAUAAAUCAAUGUUUGUGAGUGUUAGAGAAGACCAAGUAAAUAAAUAAAGCCCUACGUAUUUAUUGUAAACAGAAACACCCUAGAGGUUCUCCAGGGGAAGAGAGAGUGAGAGAAAGGUCACCAUUUCUUGCAUACAGAAAAUUAACUGUUUCAUUAGUUUAGAUAGAAACACAUUUUUUCUUUAAAAUUAGUUAUGAGGAAAAUAUUUCCAAGUUUGUGCCUCUUAUUAGGUGUAUGAAGUAUCAAAAAUAUUAAGUACAACUAACAGCAUUAGGACUUGUUCUCACCUCAACUCCAUCAUCUGAAUAAAACCACUGAAAAAGAGAAAAACAGCUCCUGACGUAAGGAAACUGGCCUGAUAUUUACAUCUAGUUCAUAGUGUUUGCCUGUUGGACACAAAUGAUCUCAUAGAACAUCAACAACAGACCAAGGCACUCUGACUAUAAUGGAGUGAGAGAAAAAACAAGUGAGACAAGACAACUUCAAAAUUUUGUCUAAGCACAGGCAAAACCAAAUGACCCAAAUACCAGACAUCCUCCUCUCUUGGCUAACAUGAGUGACUAUCAAAGCUUUAGCCUCUAUGUGUUCCUCUUGACUUAUAGAGAAGAUUCAUUAGGAUACUGAUAUGGUUUGGCUCUGUAUCCUCACCCAAAUCUCAUCUUGUAGCUCCCAGAAUUCCCACGUGUUAUGGGAGGGACCCAGUGGGAGAUAAUUGAGUCAUGAGGGCGGGUCUUUCCUGUGCUGUUCUCGUGAUAAUAAAUAAGUCUCAUGAGAUCUGAAGGUUUUAAAAAUGGGAGUUUCCCUGCACAAGUUCUCUUCUCUUGUCUGCUGCCAUGUGAGAUGUGCCUUUCACCUUCUGCUGUGAUUGUGAGGCCUUCCCAGCCACAUGGAACUGUAAGUCCAAU
rnacentral:lncRNA from 1 species